UACGUAGGGGCCUAGCGUUGUCCGGAUUUAUUGGGCGUAAAGAGCUCGUAGGCGGCUUGUCGCGUCGACUGUGAAAACCCGUGGCUCAACCAUGCGGUCUGCAGUCGAUACGGGCAGGCUAGAAUUCGGUAGGGGAGACUGGAAUUCCUGGUGUAGCGGUGAAAUGCGCAGAUAUCAGGAGGAACACCGGUGGCGAAGGCGGGUCUCUGGGCCGAUACUGACGCUGAGGAGCGAAAGCGUGGGGAGCGAACAGG
rnacentral:rRNA from 1 species